rnacentral:rRNA from 1 species
UACGUAGGGUGCAAGCGUUGUCCGGAAUUAUUGGGCGUAAAGAGCUCGUAGGCGGCUUGUCACGUCGAUUGUGAAAGCCCGAGGCUUAACCUCGGGUCUGCAGUCGAUACGGGCUAGCUAGAGUGUGGUAGGGGAGAUCGGAAUUCCUGGUGUAGCGGUGAAAUGCGCAGAUAUCAGGAGGAACACCGGUGGCGAAGGCGGAUCUCUGGGCCGAUACUGACGCUGAGGAGCGAAAGCGUGGGGAGCAAACAGG